rnacentral:snRNA from 17 species
AUACUUACCUGCUGAUUUUCUAGUCACGAUCAAAUAGGUGACUAGAAACUAAAGUAUCUGUCUCUUUUUGCACUGCUAGAGACACUUUAAAUCCCUUACCCGUAAGGGGAGGGAAUUAGCUAAUUUCUGGUAGUGGGGUUUCAUUGCGCUAGUUCGCAGAUUCCCC